CACAGGGAGGUGAAACAGUGUCCCACAUUCGUUAACUCACGGGAGGUGAGGCUGGGCCACCAACCCGGGCAACCUGGCUCCAGACUCCAAGCUCUUCAAAGCCACGUGGCUGUGCCCCUCGGUGCUGCCCACUUCUCGAGCGGGGCCUGACCCAUCCGUAGAAUACGGAUCAUGCCAACCUUGCAGCCUUGCUCUGAGGACCAGAUACAAUAAAGAUGUCUGAUGUGUGUUAAGUCCGAGAAUCAUGACCACAAACAAGGCUGGAGAAUGCUUCUGCUUUGUAAUAGCUCUCAUGGGUCAUGUCUAAGGAAAAGGUCCUGAGGCCAGAAGGCAGAGGUCCAAGUCUGGCUCAGCCAUUAUCCAAGAAACCCUGGGACCUUCGGCCUCCCUGGAACUCAGCGUCCUCCGCUGCAGCAUGGAGGUCAUCCUGUCUCCUCUGCCUGCCUCUCUGCAUGGUUAUGAGAACGUGACACGAGAAUGGAUGAAACAAUUUUCUGAGAAUUUCAAAGACCGUGCCGGAGUUCAUGCUUAGGAACCAAAGCCAGGUUUACCUCCUUCCCCAGCUAAAGAAAUAUCCAUCCUGGUAGGCCAGGCACUGCCAAGUGCUGGCCUCCUUGGAGUUCAGUCGCCUGUCUGGUCAGCAAACAUUCCUGCAUCACAGGUGGCAAGGGACAAGUUAAGUCGCAGAAGACUGGCCGACAGAUAGUUGUCAAAGCCACCGAGAGCAGAAGCAGCACGGUCUUCUCCCCAGAGGACUGUGCUCCUCUACGCCUCCUUGAGCUGCGUCCAGAGAGCACUUGGCGCCCUUUCUGUCUAGAACAGGCCCAGGGGGGAGGUA